rnacentral:lncRNA from 1 species
AUGGCGCCGGGAAAGGUUUUUGGUGGGACUUGGUGGACAGAUUUGAUGGUUGUGGUUGCUGGGAUACAACGGGGUUGGUGGUGGUGGGGCUUGGAUAGCAGGUUUGAAGUUUAGAACCCUUAUUUAGGAUGAAGGGUGAAAGAGGGGUUUAUAAAGUGGGAGGAAUCAGAGGUAAAAGGACAUAAAUGCCCUCACGUGCUAAGCACAUGAUUAGAGUUAACUGAAAUUUCUAACCUGGUUUGGGGUAAAGGACGAAACAUGCAACGGGUUUUCAAAAUAAAGGAUUGUGAUUGUAAUUAUUGAAGUUAAAGGCUAUCCGUUGCAAUUCGGUACAAACAUAAAGGACGAAAAGUGUAAUUUACCCCCCUAAAUUUCACAUUUUAAGAAUUAUAAACGCAGAAACAUCAAACAUCCCAAAUCAGAAGGAAACAUUCAUGCAAAACUACAUCUCAAAUAAGUAAUCCCCGAGUUAAUACAUCUUCAAAAUCAAAGAAAAUCCAUUGAUACAAACAACUCUAGAUCGAUCGAUAAUCAAGCCCACAGGAAUGACAAAAAGGCCACAAGUAAAAGCAUCAAGUAACGCGUAGGAAGAAUUUUGUAAACAGAAUUUACAUCAUUACUGCCAGGCGAAUACCCGCCUUCCGGGGUGUUUGUAGUCAACACAACGACAAUCCAAUCAUCUUCAGAACCGAUCCCGACUCCAGUAUACUUGGUGUCAUUUAAGGAGCCCGAAUACUGGGAGCGGGUGUAGUUGGAAAGUACAAGGAUGGGAUCAAGAUUAGGAACACAAGCAGGAAGGAUAGUCCCAUCUCUGGUAGUGCUGACAUUCAAGUGGCAUUUGGUUAAAAGGUCUGGAUAAUUGGCAAAUUCUGGUUCGGUUCCGGCUACAGUGUUGGAGCCGGUUGUGUUUGUACACGGUUGGUUUUUAAAUUGGUCGGCAAUUUUAUCAGCUAGGCAUUUGGCUCGGUCAUUUUCUGUUAGAGUUGUUAAGUUUAGGGUUGCUCUGUAGCUAUUGAUUCCAGAAAGAAGGCUGUCUUCUUCAUCU